rfam:Parcubacteria group bacterium RIFCSPHIGHO2_02_FTLL_48_10b rifcsphigho2_02_scaffold_2445, whole genome shotgun sequence.
GGCGAGGUCGCCUAGCGGCGAUGGCACCUGACUGUAGAUCAGGCACCCACGCGGUAAACACCGGAGGUUCGAAUCCUCCCCUCGCCA